rnacentral:tRNA from 1 species
GGCAUUGUGGCUCAGUGGUUAGAGCGCCCGCCUCAUGAACGGGAGGUAAUGAAUUCGAACCCC